rnacentral:rRNA from 1 species
AGAGUUUGAUCAUGGCUCAGGACGAACGCUGACGGUGUGCUUUAGACAUGCAAGUCGAACGAGAAAGCCCUUCGGGGUGAGUACAGUGGCGAACGGGUGAGUAACACGUGGGUAACCUACCCCUCGCAGGGGGAUAACCGGGGGAAACCCCGGCUAAUACCCCGUACGCUCAGAGGUUCGCAUGGACCUCUGAGGAAAGGUAGCUUCGGCCAUCCGGCGAGGGAUGGGCCCGCGGUGCAUUAGCUAGUUGGUGGGGUAACGGCCCACCAAGGCUACGAUGCAUAGCUGGUCUGAGAGGAUGAUCAGCCACACUGGGACUGAGACACGGCCCAGACUCCUACGGGAGGCAGCAGUCGGGAAUCUUGCGCAAUGGGCGAAAGCCUGACGCAGCAACACCGUGUGAGCGACGAAGGCCUUCGGGUCGUAAAGCUCUGUUGUUGGGGACGAAGGGUUAGGGGUUAAUAGCCCCGAGCCUGACGGUACCCUUCGAGGAAGCCCCGGCUAACUACGUGCCAGCAGCCGCGGUAAUACGUAGGGGGCGAGCGUUGUCCGGAAUUAUUGGGCGUAAAGAGCGUGUAGGCGGUUCGGUAAGUCUGCCGUGAAAACCCAGGGCUCAACCCUGGGCGUGCGGUGGAUACUGCCGGGCUAGAGGGUGGUAGAGGCGAGUGGAAUUCCCGGUGUAGCGGUGAAAUGCGCAGAUAUCGGGAGGAACACCAGUAGCGAAGGCGGCUCGCUGGGCCACACCUGACGCUGAGACGCGAAAGCGUGGGGAGCAAAAGGAUUAGAUACCCUAGUAGUCC